GACGAACGCUGGCGGCGUGCCUAAUACAUGCAAGUAGAACGCUGAAGGCGGAGCUUGCUUCUCUGGAUGAGUUGCGAACGGGUGAGUAACGCGUAGGUAACCUGCCUGGUAGCGGGGGAUAACUAUUGGAAACGAUAGCUAAUACCGCAUAAUAGUAGCUGUUGCAUGACAUUUGCUUAAAAGGUGCAAUUGCAUCACUACCAGAUGGACCUGCGUUGGAUUUGCUUGUUGGUGGGGUAUCGGAUCACCAAGGCGAGGAUACAUAGCCGACCUGAGAGGGGGAUCAGCCACACUGGGACUGGGACACGGCCCAGACGGCUACGGGAGGCAGCAGUAGGGAAUCUGGGGCAAUGGGCGGAAGACUGAGCGAGCAAGGCGGCGGGAGGGAAGAAGGUUGUCGGGUCGGAAAGGUCGGUUGUAGGGGAAGAAAGAGUGUGAGAGUGGAAAGUUCACACUGUGACGGUAACUGACCAGAAAGAGACGGCUAACUACGUG
rnacentral:rRNA from 1 species